rnacentral:rRNA from 1 species
UACGUAGGGGGCAAGCGUUGUCCGGAAUCAUUGGGCGUAAAGCGCGUGUAGGCGGCCCGAUAAGUCCGCUGUGAAAGCCCUGGGCUCAACCUAGGAAGUGCAUUCGAAACUUCGGAGCUUGAGUUCUGGAGAGGAAGGCGGAAUUCUCGGUGUAGAGGUGAAAUUCGUAGAUAUCGAGAGGAACACCGGUGGCGAAGGCGGCCUUCUGGACAGUGACUGACGCUGAGACGCGAAAGCGUGGGGAGCAAACAGG